rnacentral:lncRNA from 1 species
AUCUUCAAGGCAAUUGUCUCAGGCAUCCUCCAGGCAUCAUGAAGGAGGCACGACAAGUGUUCAAAAGAGAACCAGGCCCAGCCCGGAGAAAGGAAAGCCAAAAGCCAACUGAAUGAAUGACCCUCCCCCAGAAGAGCAACCCUGCCCCCAGGCCAUCCAAGUGCGAACAUUACCAGGUGCCAGCAGGGAAAGGACUCCGCUGCCUGACGCCUCUCCCACCUGAGAGCGCAGAGGUAGGGAGAUCACAGUGCCUGAGAGGUUUUCCUCCACGGAGAAAUCAGAGACCUCAACCUGCUGCCCUCUAAAGCAGCUUUCUGUAUCCAGACAAAACUUACAUAUGUACACGUUGUUUUAAAACGACAUACUCAUGUGACACACAUGUAUAUAAAUUCAUGUUUAUAUAUGACAAUUGAGGAGAGUUAAAGAACAAGAUAAUUCUGGAUGGAAAAAUCAGUUUGCCUGGGCAUCUGUAAACCUUUGGGCAAGUGAAUUCCCUCUUCUCUCUCAGUUCACCCUUUGGUGACCUCCACCGUGGCUGCAGACUUCAGGUGGUCCUCACGCAUUCACAGAACUGUCUGCUUAG